GCACACCCACGUAACACAGCACUGAUGUGGUAGAUCCACAUUUGUCCGUGUUUGGGAAACCUAAUCAACAAUGCUCGUUUUGUGAUGAUCAAAUAGUUAAAGCUCAAUUGGAUAACUGCUCAAAGGGAUAAUUUGGAGCAUGAACAAAGCAGUGCAUUGUGUUGCUCUACCCCUUUUUUUCCAUUACAACCACUAGUCGUUGCAGUGCGGAGAAGCCACUGCUGUAUCGGGGAAUGGAGUGAAACUAUUCUCAUAGAACCACGACUAUAUGUAGCUCAUGAUUCCCAUGUUCAUCCUGAAAGAAAAGGACGCAAUGUGUUUUCAGUAAUCCACCAGGGUUACAGAAAGUCUUACGUUGUCACCUGUAUAUUUACAUAUAUACUAUAUUUACAGUGUAGGGCUGCAACUAUUAAAUAUUUUAGUAUUUGGAUAUCCUGCUGAAAAUUCUAUUGAAUAAUCGAGUAUUUGGAUACAAUUAAAAAAAGUAAACAUUUUUUUGCUUGUUUAAUAAUGAUUAAAAAUGAUGUCAGAACCAAGUCGUGAUUUUGCCGGCUAAAACGGCACAUUUGAGUAAACCUGGUUUGUUAAAUAUUGAUCUAUAUGAACUGCAACUGUGUUAGGCUGUAACUAUCAAAGUGUGCAGUCAUUUUCGACUAGUAAUCUGGGGCACUUGUUUUGCAGCUAGCCGCCAAGACUGGGAGCAGGCACCGCAUCGUACAAUGUCGGUGUAAUUAGUUUUAUUACAAGCAUCCUUAAUUUGCAAUUUGAACAUGAUUUGUUGUGUUGAUGUUGUUGGCACCAGUUUAUGAUGGAAACUUAAACUGGGCUCCAACUAUUCACGUACCCGUCAGAAAGAGGAGUCAAGUAAGCCACCACGCUAUGCAAAGUUUCAAAAUAAAAGCACACUGAGAGACCCAUGUCUGUAUGUUACAGUAUUUGGGAAGAUUUUAUUUUGAAGUUAUCCUUAUCAUAUUGGUGGCGUGUUACCAUCAUGCCUAGCAGUGCUAUGGGUAGCGUACCGAUCUUCCUGACCAUGCACACCAAAUAAACGGGUAUCCAACGCAGAAAAAGAUCCUCACACAUUUGUUUGAUUCGCAUUUGAAUCAGAUAUUAUUUUUGCAUUUCUGAAACAAAUGCUCGAGCUACUUUUAACAAUGUGAUUAUUGUGUGUUAUUAAUAAUUAAUGGGCUUCAUUUAUGUGAAGACGUAAGUGUCAAUCAGAUCAGAUGUCGGUAUUGCAAGACUUUUGUGUUUUUUAAAAUAAAUUUCAGUCAAUGUUCAUAUUUGCAAAUGAUCGCUUUUUACACCAUUCCUAGAAAAUCACAAUGUCCCAGCCCUGUUCGAUAUAUUUUUAGGGACAGGCCAGCGGGCUCCUGCCACAGUUCCUGGGAGCAAUCUGUUGCAUUGGUGACCCUGGUCUAUUAUAUUGAUAAUUGACUGACAUUGGUACGCUGAUAUUCUGAAUGCUGAUUAUACAUUAAUGAAGGCGAGGCCUAAGUCUAACCCAAGUUAAGCAGUCAUUACAGGACAUGUUGGAGACUUGUCGUAAUUUUGUCGUCAUUUCCACCACAGCUCCACCGUUCUGUGUAUGAUUAUUCUUACAUCUGUAUAUCCCAGGGAGGUCAUUAUCUCUGAACGGGCAUCCACUGAAGGCUUUGUGAACCACAUAGAAGGCAGAGGUUAGAAAAAGUCUGUAAUUGCAGUUCUCUCCUCUGAAAUCUUGCGUUGUCCUCACUGCCUCUACCCUUGCCUCUGAACCCUCCCAUCUGUCCGGGUAUUUUUAUCUCAAUGGUAUUCAGCUAUAUCUGGGUAUGGCAUUAAGGCAAUACUAUCACUCCAUGAUACUUUUGCCCACUGUAACUAGUGUUCAUAUACGUAUCAUAGUAACGGGAGGUCAGCCGGUAAAUGCAUACAUUUUUAGCAUUCACUGGAGUAGAAAAACAACUAGUUGGCAAAGUUAACCCAAGUUACUGCCGGCUGUAACCUAAAAGGGCCCCCCACUCUUGAACGGUUGUCUGUCACCAUGCUUAUGUCCAUCCCUGAUCUCCAUGCUGACCCCUCCCGCCCCCCAGCUCCUUUAACAUAUUAGCAUAGGUCCACACAAAAUAUGCUGGUUUUACUGUAUUUUGGUCCCAGCGUUGCUGGUAGACCAGCACAAGAACACAGCAAAAGCUUAUUUUAUUGUAUAUUUAAAUUUAAAGUAGCACUCAGUUGGGCGCAGAGAUCUCAGUGCUACUCCCUGUCAGAUCAGUACCUGUCUUGGCGAGCGCUUCCUUGUAAACAUGAAAAACUGACAACUCCAGUAGUGGUGACUUCUUUGCCAUCCACUUAUGCUGUAAAUAUUGCCUAACCGCGAGGGCUGGGCAUUUAAUUGUGAUUUUGUUUUUGCCUUUUCAUGUUCAAUAAUGUUUCAUAAAAACAUUAUAAUUGAAGACAAACAACUGAUGUGCUGAACGGUGUGGCGUAUUUGCAAUUUCCUGAUGUGGUUAAAGCACCCUGAAUGCUUUGUGUUGCUUGCAUAGCAAGCUUGUGAUAUAUGGGAUUCUUUGCUCCACGAGCGUGCUUUCAGCUUUUUAAUGACACCCCAGUUGGAGCUUAUUGUAGAACUAAACACACAAUAACAAAAAAAAAAUACAAGACAUGAUUAGUUUUAGAAAGAUCGGUAGUGCUCAAGUCUAUGUAAAAUACAAUUGACAUGCUAAUUGAUAUUAGCAUCGACUUCCGGUAGUGAUAUUUCUUAAAUUAACCACUAUUCACUCAAAUGCUGCUGGAACACAUACAGAAAGGCAGAGGCAUAGAUUGUUGCUAAUUUCUGAAAUAAAAAUGUUAUAAUAAUAAAUCUCAAUCGCAACUUUCUUUUUCAACUUGUGUCUAAUGUAAAGUGCAUGCAUGUAGUUGAAUAAAUUGUUUUCAAUGAAUAAUUGUUGACUUCAAAAUUUCAAAAUAAUUGUCAUGAUCUUUUUGCCCACCCCUACUAACCUCAGAGAGCGUUCAAACUAAAAUGAAAGCACUUGUUUUAGGCAGCAGUGCACUUGUAGAGGAUAUUAGGCAGUAGUGCUCCUUGAUAUUUUCUUUGUCAAGCAUAAGUGACUCACACAUUCUAGAGGUAACCACCUACUGACUGCUCAGUUAACUUUAUCAUGUUUUUAUCUUUUUAAAAAAAUAUAUCAUCUUCCCUGUAUAGCGCUGUCCUGUAACUGAUGAAAUAAACCCUAUCAGGUUUUGUUCAUGGGCAUACUUCUCACAUUUGUCAUAAACUAGCAACAAAUUUGAUAGUGGUCAUAAUUUACACACCUAGAGGUCCACAGAGAUAAUGUUAUGUUAUUCAGAUACCUUAACGUACUCUCACUGAUUUGUGUUGCAUUAAUUGUACCUUGUCGGCUCUUCCUCUGGGUGUCUUCAGCUACAUUGAAGAUGUGUUAUUAUGUGUUGUGGCUACUUUACAAUAAUAACAUGUCACAGUAUUCACCUUGCUUUUAAAUCUGAAAUGUCCUGAAAUUAAUUUGUCCCUUUUUUUUUGUUACUCCUCACUUACUCCAUCUUGCUAUUCCCUUGAUAAAGAUAUUUCCGCUGUUCUUCCAUCGUGUAGAUAAUUGAGGCACACUAUGUCAAUUCAUUCACUGUCAGUCCUCCCAGUUUGAAAGUAUUGGUUUGUAUAUGCAGUAGCUCCCUGCCAAUAGCAGUGAAUAAGUUUAAAUAUUCUGUGUGUCCAUAGAGAUUUACAAUUAAAUAAACAAUUCCUUGAGGUGGAGAAAAUGUGUUAAGAAUUUUACAAAAUUACAGUAAUUGCCGCCACGAUGAGCACCGACCACAAAUCCGGUUGGCCACUUCAACAAUCAGGCGCAGGACUUGUUUCAGCCUUCAGUAGUGUGUAGUACUCUAUUGACGUUUGUGCAAAAAGGCAGAAAAAAACUGAUUAGGUUCAUUCUGCCAACAAUUUGCCAGAUCUUCAUUUUAGAAAUCCAUCAAAAAUCACAAAUUGAGACAUAUAUAGUAGCAGGGGUAAAUUGGAUGAUCCAAAAGUGUUGACUGGUUACAUGGCAGUGUUGUAAAAUCUCAAUUAAAAAAGAGCUGGAAAACGUAUUCUGAAGGAAAUAAAUCAGCUAUUACUUUUGACCGAGAGGCCUUGGUAUCAGAUAGUCACUAGGUCAGUUCUUUAAGCUGAGUGCUUUUAAUUAAUAUCAUUUGUCGUAGUCUAUCGAAUGUUAGAUACCAGGCUUUGAAGUAUAACUUUGUUCAGUAUCCUGCAUCAGAGCCUUAAUAUCCAGCAACUUUCUUUGCCUCUUACACAUAACCAACGAAUGAAUGAUAUUGGCACAAAUGUGGAUGCUAUUGCAUAGUGACAGGUCAUCCCCCAAUCAGAUACUUUGUCCCUCCAUCUUGAGCAGCAAACAGAAAAAAAGGAACAAGCAUGGAUUUACCAGACACUGUAAAAGGGCCUAGUGUUGAAGACUGAGUUACAUUAUAAAACGGAGGGCUACAGUUGAGUUGCCACUGUAAGCUUUCAUCCGGCCUCCUUUUCUGACACCAGCUGUGCAGGCAGGAAGGUGAUAGCUGUGUCGCUGUAUAUGACAUGACAUAUCAACCAUAUCAUAUCAACACUACAUAGUGUCACCUGUCAAAUUUAAGAAAGCUUGCUUACAUACACAAUGCAGUACUGAAAAGUGAUUUUCUGACAGAGAAGUUAUUUUAUUUCUUCAUCUCUUGUGAUCCUAAAUACUUACGGAAAUUAUGCAUUUUAGUACCCCCCACCCCCCAUUCCAUUCCCAUUGGAUGGAAGUGACUAUUGUUGGUCAACCAAUCAAGAGCGAGGACCCAUAUAUGGCUUCCCUACUGUUGUGCCAUUACAAUAAAUGCCUCAUUAGAAAGGUGCUGAAAACUGAUAAUGGUGGGUGUCAGUUAUAUGUGACAUUGAGAACAACAAUUAAAAAAAGUGGACUAAACUGUAAUGAUUCAUGAAAUCAGCUAUUCCUGGCAGAUCACGUGAGCUGCCUGUAUGUACCUAAGACAACCCAAGCAUGACUGAAUGACCUCAUUUACCACAUUAUAGAAUAACUGAGAAAUAGAGGAAGCCUUUCUGAGCCUGUGUUAAUGUUGAAAUGAAAAGCAAGCGACAAGUGGAAACUGCUGUGCUCUGAAAGGUUGUCUUUGUUAGCAGGCCUGGUUGACACACAGUGGGUAAGUUUGUAGUUUAGCUGGAUGGCUUCUUACACUGACUGAAAGCCUGUGAGACGGUGACAGGACUGUAUAGCCAUUUAUGUACUGACUUUACUCACAGGGAGAUCCUGGUCUCUUAAAGAAAACACCAACAUGUAACGUCUGCUGUCAUGUAGAAGCCACUGCACAAUGAUAUAUAUUUAAAUGUGGUUGGAUAUUGGUGAAAAACAAGAACAGAGAAAAUAACCAUCUAUGUGCCGUUUUAUUUAAGUGUUACAGAUUUGAUGUAUGUACCUCUAUUUUCCGAACCGCUUAUCCUCACAGGGUUGUGCGCGUGCUGGAGCCGAUCCCAGCUGCCUUUGGGCAGUAGGUGGGGUAUAUCCUGAACUGGUUGCUAGGCAGUCGCAGGGCACAAAUACACAAAAAACCAUUCACGCUCACAAUCACACAGAGCGUCUUUACUUAACCACCGUACAUGAUUUUGGAAUAUGGGAGGCAACUGAAAUACCCGGAGAACACCCACACGACUAUGGGGAGAGCAUGCAAACUCCACGCUCGAGUCAAGUCAUUUUAUGUUAACUGUUCUGUUGAUGGUGGUGAGGACACCCGCAGCAGCUCCUCUCUCUCCUGUGGUUGAGAGGAAAGAAAUUUCAUCUGUGCUGUAUGUUGCACAUCGAGCAUAUUUGUCAAUAAAGAUGACUUGAACUUGAACUUGAACCCACUGUGCCGCCCAAGUUAGAUAUAUAGCUACAAAUUUUAUUCGGUUAUGUGUGAGUAUACAGAGAUGGGAGCCCAUAUCUAUUUCAAUAAGUCAAUUGUGUAUGCUAUAUUAGUGCACCACACACAAAGUGAAAUAUUUAUGUGACCUGGUACCAAGCGCUGCGUGGACCAGUACCUGGCAGCGGACCUGUGGUUUGCGACCACGUUUAAUUCAUUGAUUCAAUACGAAGGCCUAUCCAAAAAUAUCUUGCCUAACUUUUGCUAAUUGUUUCCUGGGUCAUGGUUCUGAGAUGGAUUGAGGCAUUUUAUCCAAUUCUUCCGUAUGGCUCCCACAGAAGCAUUAUAAACAGCUCCUGUUUCAGUCCAGCUCAGCAACUUACAUCAGCCUGCCAUGAGGCACUUGUCGCAGAAUUGUAAAGGCAUAAAAGCUCUAUCAGCAUGUUUGCGACAAUUUAAAGUGACAUUUUGACAAUUGAAGGUCUUUUUUUUUAUUUUGCGUAAGCUCUCUUGAGAGCACACUAGCAAGAUUGAAUGAAUAAAUGCUGUCAUGUAAAAGCCUACUUUUAGUCAACUAGCUAAUCCGCCAAUGAAUCAGUAGCUAGCAGCAUCAUACUGUGCUUACAUUGACAUAUUGCUUUGACAGUGAUUUAGUUGAAGGCAAUAAAUCUGGAGAGAAAUCUUCGGGACUUGUGAGCCACAGAGAUAAGUGUUAGUGUUUUCAAAAUAGAAGAAUGAUUGUUGAAAAAUAUCAACAAAUGGUGGAAAUAUUAUUUAAAGCUCAAUGUUGUGUUUUCAUGGCAAUAUUUAUGACCAAGACCCCGCAUCAUGAGUGUACAAAAAGGUCACUAAGCCAAAUGCACCAUUGGUUUAAAUUUUUUACACUUAGAUAAUCUGUACUGUAUGUAUGGAGUGCAGACACGUGACAGUUUUAGGAGCACGAAUAAUCAUUUCAAUUCAGCCAUCUCCACAUAACAUUAUACUCUAACAUACAAUAACUCUAAUUUAUGGUUAUCAUCAAAUUUUGAAUUGACUCAACAGUUAAUACAUUAAUGCCUGUGUGAGAACAAUUGUGUAAUUCUGUGAACUGCAAAAUGAAUCUUAUUUACAGCUACUCCACUAUAUUCUUCCUGAUGCGAUUUUUUUAUUUUUAUUUUUGUCUGUAUUUUGAGCAAAUACAGUAUAAAGUGGAACCCUGCAUGCUCGCAGUUCGGCACCCGCAGAUACACCUGUUUGCUGAUCUCCCCUUGUUUUUUU